rnacentral:rRNA from 1 species
AUGGAGCAUUUGCUUCUGGGAUGCGCAUUCUCGCGACAGGUGUGGCACGACUGCUUUAGCUGGUGCUACCCAUCCGCUCUCGCGCCCGCCCCCUCCAACCUCUUCCUCGAGUGGUGGCACUCUACGACUCUGGCCACGCUGGCGGCGCACCGGAAAGGACUCUCUUCGCUUAUCCUGCUGGUCGCCUCAUCCAUCUGGAAACAUCGCAACUUCUGCGUCUUCGACGGCGCCGCGCCAUCUACAUCCAAGCUGCCUCAUGACAUCCAAGAUGAGGCUCGCUCAUGGGCCAUGGCUGGAGCCAAGGGUUUAGCACUCAUCAUACCGUAG